GUGGUGUGUGCAGAGCAGGGGCCUGAAGAAAUGGCUCACUGUUUACAACACACCCAACAGGAAUUUGGGUUCAUUGUGACAGAGGACACAAAAUGUGUGGCCUUUCCAUGAACAAGUAUCCAACACAU
ensembl:snoRNA